CCAUCACCGCCUCCAAGACCUCCACCUGCUCCUGCACCACCCCCACCACCAAAACCACCUCCAAUGCCUUUAGAAAAUUCAUCUUCCUCAAGUUUCCUACAUUCCGAAAUUCCUAUGACCAACGCAAAGAACACAACCAUCACACCAACAGACUUAAAUAUUAGUUUCCCCAUAUUUCUAAAAGAGUCGAAGAAAGACACAAAUGCUUGCUUUGUGAUGCUAAGCUUCAAAGGCUUAGUGCUCUAUUUAUAGAGUAACCAAGUGGCACACUUUAUUGCGUGUACUAAUCUUACUUAAUGAAAUGUCCCAAAAUUCAACUCAGUUUGAAUAGAAUCGUCAAUUGCCGGUGAAAUAAUAGUGAAGCUGUCACCAUUACUCAACUACUAACCUAAUGCAUGUCUCCACUCACCACCGUCACAAGUAAUUUACAAUUAAACCAUAUAUUUCUGACCACUAAGAUUAUCAACUAAGAUUAUCAGAAGAAAAGCUCAAUUAAGAGAUUUGGAAAUAUGAUGGCAUGGUAUCAAAUCAAAUGGACCGCACUAUAUAUUAGCAAGAAGUUGAUUCCAGUUUAGGAAACCAAAAAUGUAAUUGAUUCGAGUGGUGCUACCGAUUUAGUGUAAGCUUGUUAGCUUUGGUAUUUGUACUUUAUCAAAAAAAAAAACAAAAAAACUUUGGUAUUUGUACUUUGGGCUUUAGCCUUAUGCUACAGGAAUUUGAUAGUAUCUUCCAAAAUGAAGCUACUUUUUACGCAUCACAUUCACAUUUACCAGCUCUUAAUAAUGAAAGAAUGAUAUUGGAUUUUGUAAGUAAUAUCUCAAAUUUUUAUCUCGAAUAUUGAUGUGGCACUCAUUUAUUAUAUAAAAUAAUAAAUUUCAGUACUUGUAAAAUUAUUAAUCAUUCUACUUACAUUAUUCAAUAUCAUACUAAUAAAUGAAUGUCGUUUCAUUUCAAACUAAACAAUACUACUCAAGAAGUGUUGAAUUACUUAUUAUAAAAAUCUCCAUAUUAACCAUUUUUUUUGCCAGCAUGGAAGGAGUGGAAAGGGGAAGCAUCUAUACAUUUAUCAUUGAUCAUAAUUUAAUACUUUUAACAUAUUUUUUCUUUUUAAAAAAAAUUAUUUUCGGCCAUAUAUAUAUAGUCGUUCAAAAUUUCCAUAGGCCGCCAAUGGGUUCAUAGUCCAUUGACAUCCUGUUCUUGAGCGCAUGGAUUCCAGUACUAGUAAUGACUCGGACACGACUCUCAUCUCAAUAAGGAUCUAUUUGUCUCUCUUCUUAGUGGGGAUCUACCUUAUUGUAAUGCAUCAGCAUAAAAAAAAAAAAAAAAAUUCCUUGCUCCACUACAUCUUUGGUGUCCUAUGCAUCAUAGAAUUGAUUGUUCUCCAUAAGCAAAACCCAGAUCACUUUUAUUCCUAGAACCAAUCUCAUAAACACUAUUCACGAUUUCACAUCACCAUCAAAAUUACCAUCAGAUCCUUGCUUUUCAACCCUUGCGGCUGCAGCUCCAGCGUUAGUCAAACUGCCGCCACUAAUCCUUGCACUGUCCCCUAACGUUUCUGCAAUAAUACUAGUUGCAUGUGGAUGAUAAAUCAUAUUUUAGAGCUUCCGGCAUUGGCUGUCCCAAUCGUCAGUACAAACAUUAAAGUCACCAAGCUAACACGUACAUUGUGAGAAUUUUGCCGUCUUUCUAUUUUAUUCAAGCAAAAGAUCGAUCGAAAGGAAGAAAAGAAAGCUUGUUUUAUGGCAUUGGCAGGCUCAGUGGGAAGCCCUAUUUGUAGCUUAUGAAAUAGUAGAAAAUGUUAAUGCAAUUUGUUCAUGUUUGUUCGUCAGAUGUUACUGUCAUCGAUCAGGAGUACGUAAACGUAAUAAAUUUUAAUUCCGAAUUAAAAAUUUUGAAAAGAUUUAAGCUCAAUAAUUUUGAGACGUGUACAUUUGCACGAUAGAGAUAUAUAAGAAAUCCUUUUUUUUUUGGGUGGCGCAAUUGAUCCACUUAAAUUUACUGUUUAUAUGUCCAAAAUCUGAAACACAAUUAUAAUUGAUUUGAGAAGUUAUCUUGGAUCCAAUACACUAACAAUCAUCAAUCACGUAAGUGAUUGUCAAACAAAAUUUGAGAAUGGAUUCUCAUAAAAAAAAAGGUGAUAAUCAGAAUAUCACCUUGGUUCUUUUUUUACUUUCACAUGCAAAUAGUGAGAAAGGGAAUGGAACUUUCUAUUUCACUAUUCAUAAAUAUUUAUUCCUAGUGGGAGAUCUUAUUCAUAUAUUUAUGCUAUCAUUAGUUACUGAAUUCUAGAAAAUUAGGAAAUCGCCCACAAUUGUAUAUAUCCCCAUGCCACCACAUCUUGGGAGCCCUAAUUAGUACCUCCAUCAUUAAUAAUAUUACCACUGGCAGAUCCUACACUCUCAUCACCAUGCAUCCAAACCAACUUGAUGUUCUACUUUUGUAGCUGCAACACCAACGCCAACAUUAAUCACAGUGCCCUUUUUAAAUCCUCCGUCGUGUGAUUUGAAGCUGCGCGCGGCCAGCACUUGUUUUUUUGUCCAAAUCUAUCUUCGAAGCCGCCUUCAGAAGUUUCGUUUUUUUCUCAAUUUGCUUCCGGCAUUGAGCUAUCCCUAGAAUCAAUGUUAAUAGAAACGUCACAGCUAACACGCCGAUGUACUUGCAAUGUUUUCUCAUGUUUUAAAAAGACAACACACAGAAUGAGCAAUAGAUGUGAUUAUGUUCUUGCUUGGUGUUACAACGCUCGGACCGGUGACACUUAUUUAUAGUGCAAGAGUAAUGGAAUUAAAUUAAUGCAUUCAGUUGAAGAUGUUUCUAUGACAGAAAUUUCUAUAAUGCGGUGUUUAAAAUUAUGUUGUCAAUGACAUAACAAACAUAAAUUUUGUAUAAGAUUAGUAAAUAGAAGGUAAAACAAGUAAAUUAAUAUAAGAGUGGUAAAUAUGUGUUUUAAAAUAACAAACAAAAUAAACAAUUAUAAAAAUAAUACAAAAUUUGUAAAUCAACAUUAAAAUUUAAUUAAAAAUAUUUUAUUCAUUUAAUUUAAUUAACCAAAGAAAAAAAUUCACUCAUCAAUUUGAAAAUAAAAAAAAAUUGUAUUGAGAACAAUUGGAAUAAGGAUUGAAUUUUAUUGAAUUAGUAUAACCAUGAGUUCUAUAUUCAUCCUAGGACAUUUAUAAUUUUUUUUAUCAUAGUAUUUGUUUAUUAUGAAAAAUUAUUUUUCUUGAUGUGGAUCAAGCCAAAAACAAAAAGAUAUUCAUAUAUUAGUAGACAUAUAUGAUAUAUGAUGUAGGAUGUUAUGUGUCGCGAGUAGAGUACUUUUCAGAGGCCAUAACUUGGACUACAUGUGUCUGUUUUUGGCAUAUAAUAUAUUAUUUCGAAGCUUACGACGAGACGAACAAAAUUCAAAACUGCCUAAGUCGUUCUGCCCUGUGGUCAAGCUGGAAAUUCUACUUCUUUCCUGGUCAUUUUAUAGUUUUAAGAUUUUUCCCUAUUUUUUCUAUUUUUUCUUGGAUUUUUAUCUUCUCUUUAGAAUUCGAAUUUGAGUGUCAUUUGUUUUUCUUUUCUUAUUUUGAUUAGAAAAUUUUAAUUAUUAUAUUAUAUUUCGGAUUUUCUUAUUUUGGUACAUUCACGAUAAUUAGGCUUAUUAUAAAAGAGGCUCAAAACUCUAAUAUUAUUCAAUCAAACUUUCAACAAGAUUUACCAUUAUUCAGAAACCUAGUUUCUUUUAUCAGCAAACUCAACAACGUUUGUGUUUUGUCAAUAUAUUUAUAACAUUGGAUAUAUUUUUGAGUUUUAUACAUAUUUCAUGUAGUUUCAAAAUUUGCUUUUGACUAUACUUAGGGUGCGUUUGGAAUUGAGGUGUUAUAGCUUUUAAGAUAUAGCUACUGUGGAAAAAAAUUGUAACUAUGAAAUAAAAGUUAAUAAUAUGUAAUAAAUAUAAAUUUUGAAUAAUAUGUUAGUCUAAAGGGCUACACAUAUUGUAAUUUUGAUGAUAACAAACAUAUGUAUUAAGUGAUUUAAUAAAUAUUAUAUUUCACAUUUUCAUUAGUUUUUGAAGGGUAAUAUUUAUACAAGUGAAUCAAGUGAAAUCAAGCUCAAGACACUCAACGGACAACGACGAAAUCAAGAAUAAAGUUUAGAGCUCAACGGAUAAAUUAGUGUGAUAAAUUCUUGUAAAGCCGGUAUGAUUAAAUUGAUGCAUGAUUUAGCAUUUGAGAAGCUCAAGAGAUUAAUUUAAUUAAUCACUUUUUAUAAACUAAAAGGUUUUAUUUUUAUAAGAUAAAGCACCUUGUGGUUUUGAGUAAUUUGGACUUAAAUGCUAAGUUUUAAAAUCUUUGAUUUUAAUAAGUAUUAUUAUUAAAUUUCGGAGUUGGACAUUUUUACAAACAUUUGAAAUGUUUUGGGUCAUACUAUAAUUUAUUAAUAGUUUAGACUAAAGUGAAAGGUUUCGAGAACUUUGAUAAAUAUGGGUAUUAUGUUGAAAAGGACUUUUUUGUGAAAUAAUAAUAUAUUUGGGGCCAUGUCAUAAUUUCAGAAAGUUUUGAGCUGACAAUCAUUAUUAAGAAAUUUUGAAAUUGGACCUAUUUAUAAAGUUUUAUAACAUUUAGGCCAUAGUAUAAUUAUAUAAAGUUUUGGGCUAAAGUGUAAUUUUAAUGAACAAUGUUACUAUAGCAAAAUUCAAAAAUAACGGUAAUAUCACUGUUCAUGAGUGGCUAGUUGGAUAAAUCAAGCGGCUAACCGCUUGGGCGCUGGAAUUUACCUAUAACGGCUAACCGUUUGGGAGCUGGAAUUUACCUAUAACGGCUAGUUUUCGGACUUUAACUAUAAAAACUCAACUCUAACUUCAUUUUAAGAACUAAUACAAGGAAAAACAACGUCAUAUAACAUAUAUUGAGCUUCCAUUUCGUAAAUCAUCAUUUGUUGAAUCAUCGUUGAGCUAUAAUUUGUUAUCUACUCUUAAAGAGAGUUUCAUUGUUGUGAUUUUCAUUUCUCAUCAAAUUGUGAGUGUAUAAGUGUGAGAAACACUUGGGGUGAAGAGAUUGGGGAGAUAAUCUCUUGUUGUAAAGGUCCAUUGACAUCUUGGAAGUCAAUUGUAAACAUUUGAAGCAUUGUGAGGCUUGGAUAGUGAAAUCCUCAAGCCGGGUGUGCUUGAAGGCGUGGACGUAGGCAGGGAUAGUCGAACCACGUAAAAAUCUUUGUGUUUGUUUUCUCUUCCUUUACUCUUUUAAUAUUGUGCUUGAUUGAAUUUAUUAUUUUUUAUUUGAUUAAGGCAAUAGAUUAAAUUGUUGUGUGAAUUAUAUUGCAUAAUUUUAAAAUCCCAAUUCACCCCCCCUCUUGGGUUGCAUAACUUGCAUUUCAUAAUAAUUUUGAUAAAAUUAUUAAAGAUAUAAUAUAUUUUUCAUCAUAUAAGUGAAAACCCAUAUUAAUAUAGCUUCCAAGCUACAAAAGCUAGUAUUUACCAAAUACUUUAGUGCUGUAACUUUUAAACUACAGCUGCCCAACCUCAAUCCUAAACGCACCCUUAAAGAUUAUUUGAUGUUGUUUAAGGAGCUUCAAAAUGAUAAAAAACAUGAAAAGUAUCAUUUUUUAAAAAUCUAAUUUUGAGAUAAAUUUUAUCCUUAACAAAUCAUCACAUAAAUUACAUAAACUCAAAAUUAUCAUUAUUCAAUUUAGAUAUAAAAUCAGAAAAUAUAUAAGGUAAUUAUUAUUAUAAUGAGUUUUUAAUUUGUAUUUGUAGGUUUUUAUUUUUAUCAAUAACUCUUAUAUUAAUUUAUUUGUUUUACCUUCUAUUUACGAGUCGUGUGUUUUAUUUAUAUAAUUUUUGUUUUAUUUUUUAUUUAAUGUUGAUUUACAAGUUUUAUAUUAUAUAUGUAAGUUUUUGUUUUGUUUACUAAUGAUACACUAAUUUACCACUCUUAUAUUAAUCUACUUGUUUUAUCUUCCAUUUAUAAUUCUUAUAUUUCAUUUACCUAAUUUAUAUUUUAUUUUACACUUAUUAUUGAUUAACAAGUUUUAUGUUAGAUUUGCCCUUUGUUUUGUUUGCCAUUGAUACACCAAUUUGACACUCAUACGUUACUUUAGUUUUUUUUAAUCUUCCAUUUACAUCAUUUAUAGUUUAUUUACACUUAAUAUUGAUUUAAAAAUUUUAUAUUAUAUCUGUAAUUUUUUUGUUUACUAAUAAUACAUCAAUUUACCAAUAUUAUUACGUUGAUUUUAUUUAUCUUACCUUCCAUUUACAGGUCUUGUGUUUUAUUUACAUAAUUUAUAUUUUUAUUUUACACUUGAUUUACACAUUUUAUGUUACAUUUGUAAGUUUUUGUUUUAUUUAUAAAUAAUAUACCAAUUUGCCACUCCUAUGUUAGUUUACUUAUUUUACCUUCCACUUAAAACUCUUAUGUACCAUUUACAUAAUUUAUGUUUUAAUUUAUAUUUAAUAUUGAUUUAUAAGUUUUAUAUUAAAUUUACAUGUCUUAUGAUUCAUUAAUAAUUAAUGUUUGAUUAUGGUAUUAAUGCCAUGAUUUUGAUUACGACAUCAUAAACUGAGAUAAAAUUAGGUUUUACUUUAAGUUAACAUGAAAGUGGCAUGUGGUUUUUUCCCCAAAAAAAUAAAAAUUAAAUGGUUGGAUUGGUAUUUAUUAGAUUUGAACACAUAAGUCCAUAAUUAAUCCAAUAACAUUGGAUUUUCCGUUUUGCAAUCCAAUACAAAAAAUGGUUUGGUUUCGAUUAGAUCUAUUAGUUUGAUUGGAUUGAAUUAAAUCUUAAAUACCUCUAAUUUGUUCAACAUCAAUUUGUUUCAUUUGAAUUUAUGGAUACGCGGGCUCAAUUUGAUCUUUAAUAGAUCUCUUCAUACCGGACCUAUUGAUAAUAUACAUGAUCUAUCCGAAUAAUAUUGGUUCUUUUUAAUUUCUUCUUCUCGUAACUUUUAUUAAAAAAAAAAAACUACAAUCCUCUAGACUUUGCUAUAUACAGAGGUUAAUUAAAAAAAAAAGGUCUUAAAAAAUUUUAUAAAUUAAGUUUCACUUUCAAUGGAUUAGAAAUUUUGAACUUGGGAUGCAUAGAUGCAGCUGAUCAUCUUUAUUCCAUGCAGACAAGAGAAAAUGCAUGGAUCCACGCACGCGCAGCACAAAAAUUAUAUCGAUAUACAAGAAAACAUGCAUGCAAAUGCAAAAUGAUCAUGUGCAAAAACUCGGACGCGAGAGUCACGACCUCUUGGCUAAACUGGCCAUAUAUAAUUUUACGAGCAAAGUUUGAAAUAAGAUGAAAACAUAAUUUCUCGCAAUAAACCUACCAUUGAGAACAACUGCAGGUAUAGAGACAUUGAUUAAGAGCAUACGUUAAAUAUCAUUUUAUUUAUUCUAGAGAUAGAUGCUGUUACUUGUGAGAUACUUGAUUUUCUCGCUACAUAUCUAUGAAACAGCCCAUGCACGCACAAGCACGGUUUUAUAGCAAGCUCGCUAGCUAGGAAAAUAUUAGAAUCAAAAGUUGCCUCCAAUUCCCCCACCAGCACCACCACCAAAACCUCCACCACCUCCUUUGCCUCCUCCACUGCCACCACCACCAGCACCACCACCUCCACCAAAUCCUCCUCCACCUCCUGCACCACCACCAAUGCCACCCCCAGCACCACCUCCAGCUCCACCUCCUAUGCCGCCACCUUUACCACCCCCAAUGCCACCACCAGCACCUCCUCCUAUACCACCACCAGCACCGCCGCCAACUCCACCUCCUAUACCACCACCUUUUCCACCCCCAAUGCCACCACCAACUCCUCCACCAUGUCCACCACCAAUACCCCCACCAGUGCCUCCUCCGGCCCCACCACCUUUUCCACCUCCAAUGCCACCACCAUGUCCACCUCCGGCACCACCACCAUGUCCACCUCCAGCACCACCACCAUGUCCACCUCCAGCACCACCACCAUGUCCACCUCCAGCACCACCACCAUGUCCACCUCCAGCACCACCACCAUGUCCACCUCCAGCACCACCACCAAAUCCUCCACCAGCACCACCACCACCAAGACCUCCUCCUCCUCCUGCACCACCCCCACCACCAAAACCACCUCCAGUGCCUUUAGCAAAUUCAUCUUCCUCAAGUUUCCUACAUUCCGAAAUUCCUAUGACCAACACAAAGAACACAACCAUCACACCAACAGACUUAAAUAUUAGUUUCCCCAUAUUUCUAAAAGAGUCGAAGAAAGACACAAAUUCUUGCUUUGUAAUGCUAAGCUUCGAAGGCUUAGUGCUCUAUUUAUAGAGUAACCGAGUGGCACACUUUAUUGCG
rnacentral:lncRNA from 1 species